GAUCAAAUCGUGUCUUUCGAGAUGAGUGGACCGAACCUUUCGCUUCCAUUUGCCAGCAGUGAGUUCUACAAAGCCGGUGUGGAUUCUAAGCAUGGAGUCUGUUGCUCUUGUUAAAAGCAUCAAUAUCAAACGGCUCUACGAGAGAAAACACAAAACUUUUGAAACAAAUGACCAGAAUCAGCGCCGUGGGCACGGAAAAUACACAAACUGAAAGGACAAUACAAAUGUGCAGCACACAGACGCUACAGCACAACAACGAGCUAACGAGAGCUCACUACGAGUGGAAUGGAUUUUGGGCAAGCACAAAAAGUGACUCCGAAAUGAUUCAAAGAGUGGAUUGAGGCGAUGGCAGAAACUAUAUUGGAGGGAAAAGAGGAACAGCAGCUUCAAGAAGAAGUCUGACAGCUUCCCCUGUGUGGUGCUGAGCACAAAAAGAAGAUGGAUGAAGGAAAAGAAUUCUACAUGUGAUUUGCUGACCGCUGUUCAGGCUUUUUCAGAAGAAACUGGUCAUUCUGAAGAUGAUCUGGAGGACUAAACAUUUUCCCUCAUCACGGAUCACUGUCACUGCUCAUUCUGACUUGAUCAAAAAGUUGA